rnacentral:rRNA from 1 species
AUUGAACGCUGGCGGCAGGCCUAACACAUGCAAGUCGAACGAGUGGCGGACGGGUGAGUAAUGUCUGGGAACCUGCCUGAUGGAGGGGGAUAACUACUGGAAACGGUAGCUAAUACCGCAUACCAUCGGAUCUGCCCAGAUGGGAUUAGCUAGUGGGUGGGGUAAUGGCUCACCUAGGCGACGAUCCCUAGCUGGUCUGAGAGGAUGACCAGCCACACGGGAACUGAGACACGGUCCAGACUCCGACGGGAGGCAGCAGUGGGGAAUAUUGCACAAUGGGCGCAAGCCUGAUGCAGCAAUGCCGCGUGUAUGAAGAAGGCCUUCGGGUUGUAAAGUACUGUCAGCGGGGAGGCGUUACCCGCAGAAGAAGCAACGGCUAACUCCGUGCCAGCAGCCGCGGUAAUAC